AACGCUAGCUACAGGCUUAACACAUGCAAGUCGAGGGGAAACGAUAUUGGAAGCUUGCUUCCGAUAGGCGUCGACCGGCGCACGGGUGAGUAACGCGUAUCCAACCUGCCCAUCACUUGGGGAUAGCCUUGCGAAAGUAAGACUAAUACCCAAUGACGUCUCUAGAAGACAUCUGAAGGAGAUUAAAGAUUUAUCGGUGAUGGAUGGGGAUGCGUCUGAUUAGCUUGUUGGCGGGGUAACGGCCCACCAAGGCGACGAUCAGUAGGGGUUCUGAGAGGAAGGUCCCCCACAUUGGAACUGAGACACGGUCCAAACUCCUACGGGAGGCAGCAGUGAGGAAUAUUGGUCAAUGGGCGAGAGCCUGAACCAGCCAAGUAGCGCGUAGGAUGACGGCCCUAUGGGCUGUAAACUGCUUUUAUAAGGGAAUAAAGUGAGUCUCGUGAGACUUUUUGCAUGUACCUUAUGAAUAAGGACCGGCUAAUUCCGUGCCAGCAGCCGCGGUAAUACGGAAGGUCCGGGCGUUAUCCGGAUUUAUUGGGUUUAAAGGGAGCGUAGGCCGGAGAUUAAGCGUGUUGUGAAAUGUAGACGCUCAACGUCUGCACUGCAGCGCGAACUGGUUUCCUUGAGUACGCACAAAGUGGGCGGAAUUCGUGGUGUAGCGGUGAAAUGCUUAGAUAUCACGAAGAACUCCGAUUG
rnacentral:rRNA from 1 species